rnacentral:lncRNA from 8 species
GGAAUAGGGGACAGGUGUGCGUAAUGAAAGAUCCGGAGGGAUCCGUGACACCUGAGAGGUUUCCUUCCUCUCUGGGAACUGAGUUAGGAAGGACGCCUGUAUCUUUGUAGUGACUGGUUGUAUUGGUCCACCAUCCAAAGUGUAAUUAAUAACUUCACCAUGCUCAAAGGGAUAUUCAAUGUCUGCUUUUGAAUUUUUACCUAUCUACAAAUAGGUGACCUUCUUUGCGAGGCACUGGAAAACCUCCCUGGUCUUUGUGGUUGAAUCUGGAAAACCUCCCUGGUCUUUGUGGUUAAAUCUGUGUUUGAAAUUCACUGCUCGACUGAGGAACCUUACAUGUGUGGGGUACAGAGAUGUGGUAGUCAUUCAAAAAUCAUGUUAAACACUAUUAUUUCAGACAGAGUUGUUCCAUGCAACUUAUUAUGUGACUUGUUAAGCACAUUUUUACUCCUGAACUUAUGUAGGCUUGCCAUAACAAAGGGGUUAAAUACUUAUUGACUCAAGACAUUUUAGAUUUUCUUUUUUACAUUUUAAAUUCAGGCUGUAACAAGGGGUGUGAAUACUUUUUGAAGGCACUGUAUGAUACUGACUUGUAAGACUCUGUGCUAUGUCCUUAUAUGGCCUUGUAGGGGCCCAUGAUUCAGUACCCUCUGUUCAGUGAUGGUAACAGCCCCGCCCCACUUUCUGCAGUAGCCUGACAGGCAGCAGUGGGUGUGCAGGACAGGCCAGGCUAGGUGUUUGGUUGGAAAAUGGUCUGACUCUGACAUGAGGCUGUCUUUCACACAAAAUCUUGUUGGAUCGGAGUGGCAUGUGCCUUCGCAGGAUGACUGCUCCCUGACCCACCUGAGCCUUGCAGGAAAUAGACUGAUGGACGGCAGAGUGGCCACCCUUGCCAAGUGUUGGCCUGUCUGUCUCUCCGUGGUGUAUGUGGACCUGUCCGGGAAACAGGCAGGGACCUCAGCAGGACUCCACAGCCUCCUUUCCACCAGCGACCUAUCUCAGCCUCCAUGCAACCUCCCAACAUUUUCUGACUGACUGAAGAAAUGGUCAGUCUGGGAAAUUA